GGUUUUGCCAUCGGCUAAACUACACAAGGGAGGCUAGCUGCUUUCCAGUUUCAACGAGGCUGCUGGAUGAAACGGGGGCUGCAUUUCGGGCUCACAUGCUUUGCUGGCUUCUCAGCGUACUUCCUCGGCUCCACCGGCGAUUUCAGAUGUCUGUCCUCCAGUGACUUCAAAUUCUUCAAGACCGCAGCACUCUUUUCUAACCCCGCUGAUGUUCCAAAACAAAACUUGUGUCCAACAAUCAAACAGCAUAUUUGGAAACUACUUAAAAAGUUUUUCAUUCCAAACAACAACAAAGCCUUAUCCCACUAAACAGGGUCAGCUAUAUGAAUCCUACAACCCCGCUGCGCUAUGUUUUGUGCAUAAAAGUUUUUCAUUCCAAUUUACAAAAAUCUACAAUCGUUUAGAGUACCUGUUCUUACCAUUUUUACCUUCAGUAUGAGACAUCUGAAGGAACUCUUCAAACUGAGAUUCUUCUAGACUGGAGAAGUCAUCACCAACAUCGAGAUCAAAGGUCUCUGGAAGCAAAUCGGCGACAUUGUCAACUUCAUUCUGGGUAUUAUCAUAGAAGCCAUCCUCACCCUGUUGACUGAGCCAGUAAUCAUGGUACCAUGUGGAGGUUGUGACCAGUUGCCACCAUUCCGGGGAGAAAUCCUCCACCUG
rnacentral:lncRNA from 1 species